rnacentral:rRNA from 1 species
UAAUAUAAGAUUAGAGUGAAGUAUAAACUGCGCUUAGAGGGUACGGCAGUUAAUGGGAAGUUUUUUUUUCAAUGGGGUGUUAAAAUCGUCGGGCUCAUUUAAAGCGGACUAACUUAGCAUGGUUGCUGGAACGGUAUAGUUCCCGCUCAUUUAGAGCGGACGGUUUAGGUGGGUGGGGUGGGGUAGAGCUUAAGGUGCCCGCUCGAAUAGGGGCUCGAGCGGCUCGAGCGAGUACCGCUGCCUACGUAGGUGGUGGUCGGAGCAGACGUGGUUUUCGAGCACUACUGAUGUUGAUGAGGUGGAGCGGUCACGUCGGAGAAUAGGGAAGAGGUAGCUAGGGACUAGAGUUAUGUAUGGCGUACUGGACGAGCCGUUUCUUCGUGGCACGCUUAAGGACUAGAGGGGGGCCGACCGGGACGGGGAAGUGGUAGGGAGGAUGGAGCAACCACGUGGUGUAGCCGAGCCGUUUCUUCGACGCACGCUUAGGGUCGGGGGGCGAUACUUUUCACUUCGUGAGGUCGUUCUAAACGUAGACCUUAAAACGAACAACCGACACUACGAACGACAUGAGACAAUCACGAACGUCAUCAUCGUUGUCCGUUCUCUCCUUACACUCAUCACGAGACAAUCACGUUAAAACGAACUCACUUUACGAACAUGAGGAACACAAUCAUGACCUCAUCGUAUUAAACACAAGAACCGAAAGUUGAGACCUUAUUUUUAAAUUUAGGUUACAUGUCAACGACUUUGAAAGUCAUGUUGUCCCUCAUAAGACUUUGACAAGUCAUGAGGUCCUUGGAUAAAAUGAGGUAAAACACUCUGAACAUACACAUUGAGGUAAAACACUAGUAAAAAUGAGGUAUAUAAAAAAGAGGUAAAACACUCUGAACAUACACAUUGAGGUAAAACACUAGUAAAAAUG